GACGAACGCUGGCGGCGUGCUUAACACAUGCAAGUCGAACGGAAAGGCCCUGCUUUUGUGGGGUGCUCGAGUGGCGAACGGGCGAGUAACACGUGAGUAACCUGCCCUUGACUUUGGGAUAACUUCAGGAAACUGGGGCUAAUACCGGAUAGGAGCUCCUGCUGCAUGGUGGGGGUUGGAAAGUUUCGGCGGUUGGGGAUGGACUCGCGGCUUAUCAGCUUGUUGGUGGGGUAGUGGCUUACCAAGGCUUUGACGGGUAGCCGGCCUGAGAGGGUGACCGGCCACAUUGGGACUGAGAUACGGCCCAGACUCCUACGGGAGGCAGCAGUGGGGAAUAUUGCACAAUGGGCGGAAGCCUGAUGCAGCAACGCCGCGUGCGGGAUGACGGCCUUCGGGUUGUAAACCGCUUUCGCCUGUGACGAAGCGUGAGUAACGGUAAUGGGUAAAGAAGCACCGGCUAACUACGUG
rnacentral:rRNA from 1 species